rnacentral:rRNA from 1 species
UACGGGGGGGGUAAGCGUUGUUCGGAAUUACUGGGCGUAAAGCGUGCGCAGGCGGUUUUGUAAGCCAGAUGUGAAAUCCCCGGGCUUAACCUGGGAACUGCAUUUGUGACUGCAUCGCUGGAGUGCGGCAGAGGGGGAUGGAAUUCCGCGUGUAGCAGUGAAAUGCGUAGAUAUGCGGAGGAACACCGAUGGCGAAGGCAAUCCCCUGGGCCUGCACUGACGCUCAUGCACGAAAGCGUGGGGAGCAAACAGG